ACGAACGCUGGCGGCGUGCUUAACACAUGCAAGUCGAACGGAAAGGCCCUGCUUUUGUGGGGUGCUCGAGUGGCGAACGGGUGAGUAACACGUGAGUAACCUGCCCUUGACUUUGGGAUAACUUCAGGAAACUGGGGCUAAUACCGGAUAGGAGCUCCUUCUGCAUGGUGGGGGUUGGAAAGUUUCGGCGGUUGGGGAUGGACUCGCGGCUUAUCAGCUUGUUGGUGGGGUAGUGGCUUACCAAGGCUUUGACGGGUAGCCGGCCUGAGAGGGUGACCGGCCACAUUGGGACUGAGAUACGGCCCAGACUCCUACGGGAGGCAGCAGUGGGGAAUAUUGCACAAUGGGCGGAAGCCUGAUGCAGCAACGCCGCGUGCGGGAUGACGGCCUUCGGGUUGUAAACCGCUUUCGCCUGUGACGAAGCGUGAGUAACGGUAAUGGGUAAAGAAGCACCGGCUAACUACGUG
rnacentral:rRNA from 1 species